rnacentral:rRNA from 1 species
UACGGGGGGGGGCAAGCGUUGUUCGGAAUUACUGGGCGUAAAGGGCGAGUAGGUGGCCAUCUAAGUCAGACGUGAAAUCCCCCGGCUUAACCUGGGAACUGCGUCUGAUACUGGACGGCUUGAAUUCGGGAGAGGGAUGCGGAAUUCCAGGUGUAGCGGUGAAAUGCGCAGAUAUCAGGAGGAACACCGGUGGCGAAGGCGGGUCUCUGGGCCGAUACUGACGCUGAGGAGCGAAAGCGCGGGGAGCGAACAGG